AUCACUCACUAAACUGUUCCAAACUGGAAGCAAUAUGAGCACAAGAACUAUGCAUCAGAAGCUUCAUGAAAUGGCUUUCCGUGGAUAUUUUGAUGUCAGUUAUUCAUGCUUCUUUAAGCUGUCCAUAGUGUCAAAACCUAUAUAUCACAAUGCGCUCCAAAUACAAUCCAGAAUCAGUUUCUUAGAUUAAAACAUAACGGUCAACCUUGAAAAAAGUAGAAGUCUUGUCAAGUUUCAACACACUUUCUCUUCAGACAGGAUCGAAGCCAAGGAAAAGUGGUCACAGUGCUGCAGGUUGAGCAGGAGAAGAGAAGAGUACGACUGCAUCUGGAGGAGGAGAGGCAGUCAGCUAGUAGAGUGCCUUUGGUUCAGUAUGGAGUCUGACCUACAGCAAAAUCAGUGAUGAAUACUGCACACAAGUUUUUAUCCUGCUUAGGAUAUACUCAAGAAAGCCGAACCCAGAUAUUUCUCCUUGAAACCCAGUGACAGUUACACCGAGAGCAAGAACAGUUAAUCAGUCACGAGGUUCAGAGCUGCAGCUUCCAUUUUAACGUGACCAACUUUAGCUAGCUAUCUAGUUAGGUACAUUAGAAUAUUGGGCUAAAGUGUUGUUUUUGUGCUCCAGUGGCGCAAUCGGUCAGUGCGGGGUACUUAUAUAGCAGUACGACUGAAGCCAUGCCGAGGUUGUGAGUUCGACCCUCACCUGGAGCAGAGCUUUUAAAACUCAGUUACAUGAACGUGGCCGCAAUUGUGUGAAUUAUGGAUCAGAGAACACAUGCUAUAUGGCCAACAGUGUGUGAACACCCUCCAAGUGGUUGAGUUCAAAUGUUUUAGACACCCUUUCCUAAGAGGAGUAAGCACUGAAGAACAUCACAAUACAAUCCCCAUCAAUGCCUACAUACAAAUCUGGGUAAAUAAGGACAUGCUUUCAGGUGUUUGUUGUUGGGCACCAGCGAGUAGUGAGCAUUUAACAUAAAAAACCUCUGCUGCAUCACUCACUAAACUGUUCCAAACUGGAAGCAAUAUGAGCACAAGAACUAUGCAUCAGAAGCUUCAUGAAAUGGCUUUCCGUGGAUAUUUUGAUGUCAGUUAUUCAUGCUUCUUUAAGAUGUCCAUAGUGUAAAAACCUAUAUAUCAUAAUGCGCUCCAAAUACAAUCCAGACUCAGUUUCUUAGAUUAACACAUAACGGUCAACCUUGAAAAAAGUAGAAGUCUUGUCUAUUUUCAAUACACUUUUUCUUCAGACAGGAUGGAAGCCAAGGAAAAGUGGUCACAGUGCUGCAGGUUGAGCAGGAGAAGAGAAGAGUACGCCUGCAUCUGGAGGAGGAGAGGCAGUCAGCUAGUAGAGUGCCUUUGGUUCAGUAUGGAGUCUGACCUACAGCAAAAUCAGUGAUGAAUACUGCAUACAAGUUUUUAUCCUGCUUAGGAUAUACUCAAGAAUGCAGAACCCACAUAUUUCUCCUUGAAACCCAGUGAGAGGUACACCGAGAGCAAGAACAGUUAAUCAGUCACGAGGUUCAGAGCUGCAGCUUCCAUUUUAACGUGACCAACUUUAGCUAGCUAUCUAGUUAGGUACAUUAGAAUAUUGGGCUAAAGUGUUGUUUUUGUGCUCCAGUGGCGCAAUCGGUCAGCGCGCGGUACUUAUAUAGCAGUACGACUGAAGCCAUGCCGAGGUUGUGAGUUCGACCCUCACCUGGAGCACAGCUUUUAAAACUCAGUUACAUGAACGCGGCCGCAAUUGUGUGAAUUAUGGAUCAGAGAACACAUGCUAUAUGGCCAACAGUGUGUGAACACCCUGCAAGUGGUUGAGUUCAAAUGUUUUAGACACCCUUUCCUAAGAGGAGUAAGCACUGAAGAACAUCACAAUACAAUCCCCAUCAAUGCCUACAUACAAAUCUGGGUAAAUAAGGACAUGCUUUCAGGUGUUUGUUGUUGGGCACCAGCGAGUAGUGAGCAUUUAACAUAAAAAACCUCUGCUGCAUCACUCACUAAACUGUUCCAAACUGGAAGCAAUAUGAGCACAAGAACUAUGCAUCAGAAGCUUCAUGAAAUGGCUUUCCGUGGAUAUUUUGAUGUCAGUUAUUCAUGCUUCUUUAAGAUGUCCAUAGUGUAAAAACCUAUAUAUCAUAAUGCGCUCCAAAUACAAUCCAGACUCAGUUUCUUAGAUUAACACAUAACGGUCAACCUUGAAAAAAGUAGAAGUCUUGUCUAUUUUCAAUACACUUUUUCUUCAGACAGGAUGGAAGCCAAGGAAAAGUGGUCACAGUGCUGCAGGUUGAGCAGGAGAAGAGUACGACUGCAUCUGGAGGAGGAGAGGCAGUCAGCUAGUAGAGUGACUUUGGUUCAGUAUGGAGUCUGACCUACAGCAAAAUCAGUGAUGAAUACUGCACACAAGUUUUUAUCCUGCUUAGGAUAUACUCAAGAAUGCAGAACCCACAUAUUUCUCCUUGAAACCCAGUGACAGUUACACCAAGAGCAAGAACAGUUAAUCAGUCACGAGGGUCAGAGCUGCAGCUUCCAUUUUAACGUGACCAACUUUAGCUAGCUAUCUAGUUAGGUACAUUAGAAUAUUGGGCUAAAGUGUUGUUUUUGUGCUCCAGUGGCGCAAUCGGUCAGCGUGCGGUACUUAUAUAGCAGUACGACUGAAGCCAUGCCGAGGUUGUGAGUUCGACCCUCACCUGGAGCACAGCUUUUAAAACUCAGUUACAUGAACGCGGCCGCAAUUGUGUGAAUUAUGGAUCAGAGAACACAUGCUAUAUGGCCAACAGUGUGUGAACACCCUCCAAGUGGUUGAGUUCAAAUGUUUUAGACACCCUUUCCUAAGAGGAGUAAGCACUGAAGAACAUCACAAUACAAUCCCCAUCAAUGCCUACAUACAAAUCUGGGUAAAUAAGGACAUGCUUUCAGGUGUUUGUUGUUGGGCACCAGCGAGUAGUGAGCAUUUAACAUAAAAAACCUCUGCUGCAUCACUCACUAAACUGUUCCAAACUGGAAGCAAUAUGAGCACAAGAACUAUGCAUCAGAAGCUUCAUGAAAUGGCUUUCCGUGGAUAUUUUGAUGUCAGUUAUUCAUGCUUCUUUAAGAUGUCCAUAGUGUAAAAACCUAUAUAUCACAAUGCGCUCCAAAUACAAUCCAGACUCAGUUUCUUAGAUUAACACAUAACGGUCAACCUUGAAAAAAGUAGAAGUCUUGUCAAGUUUCAACACACUUUCUCUUCAGACAGGAUGGAAGCCAAGGAAAAGUGGUCACAGUGCUGCAGGUUGAGCAGGAGAAGAGAAUAGUACGACUGCAUCUGGAGGAGGAGAGGCAGUCAGCUAGUAGAGUGCCUUUGGUUCAGUAUGGAGUCUGACCUACAGCAAAAUCAGUGAUGAAUACUGCACACAAGUUUUUAUCCUGCUUAGGAUAUACUCAAGAAAGCCGAACCCACAUAUUUCUCCUUGAAACCCAGUGAGAGGUACACCGAGAGCAAGAACAGUUAAUCAGUCACGAGGUUCAGAGCUGCAGCUUCCAUUUUAACGUGACCAACUUUAGCUAGCUAUCUAGUUAGGUACAUUAGAAUAUUGGGCUAAAGCGUUGUUUUUGUGCUCCAGUGGCGCAAUCGGUCAGCGCGCGGUACUUAUAUAGCAGUACGACUGAAGCCAUGCCGAGGUUGUGAGUUCGACCCUCACCUGGAGCACAGCUUUUAAAACUCAGUUACAUGAACGCGGCCGCAAUUGUGUGAAUUAUGGAUCAGAGAACACAUGCUAUAUGGCCAACAGUGUGUGAACACCCUGCAAGUGGUUGAGUUCAAAUGUUUUAGACACCCUUUCCUAAGAGGAGUAAGCACUGAAGAACAUCACAAUACAAUCCCCAUCAAUGCCUACAUACAAAUCUGGGUAAAUAAGGACAUGCUUUCAGGUGUUUGUUGUUGGGCACCAGCGAGUAGUGAGCAUUUAACAUAAAAAACCUCUGCUGCAUCACUCACUAAACUGUUCCAAACUGGAAGCAAUAUGAGCACAAGAACUAUGCAUCAGAAGCUUCAUGAAAUGGCUUUCCGUGGAUAUUUUGAUGUCAGUUAUUCAUGCUUCUUUAAGAUGUCCAUAGUGUAAAAACCUAUAUAUCAUAAUGCGCUCCAAAUACAAUCCAGACUCAGUUUCUUAGAUUAACACAUAACGGUCAACCUUGAAAAAAGUAGAAGUCUUGUCUAUUUUCAAUACACUUUUUCUUCAGACAGGAUGGAAGCCAAGGAAAAGUGGUCACAGUGCUGCAGGUUGAGCAGGAGAAGAGUACGACUGCAUCUGGAGGAGGAGAGGCAGUCAGCUAGUAGAGUGAUUUUGGUUCAGUAUGGAGUCUGACCUACAGCAAAAUCAGUGAUGAAUACUGCACACAAGUUUUUAUCCUGCUUAGGAUAUACUCAAGAAUGCAGAACCCACAUAUUUCUCCUUGAAACCCAGUGACAGUUACACCAAGAGCAAGAACAGUUAAUCAGUCACGAGGGUCAGAGCUGCAGCUUCCAUUUUAACGUGACCAACUUUAGCUAGCUAUCUAGUUAGGUACAUUAGAAUAUUGGGCUAAAGUGUUGUUUUUGUGCUCCAGUGGCGCAAUCGGUCAGCGUGCGGUACUUAUAUAGCAGUACGACUGAAGCCAUGCCGAGGUUGUGAGUUCGACUCUCACCUGGAGCACAGCUUUUAAAACUCAGUUACAUGAACGCGGCCGCAAUUGUGUGAAUUAUGGAUCAGAGAACACAUGCUAUAUGGCCAACAGUGUGUGAACACCCUCCAAGUGGUUGAGUUCAAAUGUUUUAGACACCCUUUCCUAAGAGGAGUAAGCACUGAAGAACAUCACAAUACAAUCCCCAUCAAUGCCUACAUACAAAUCUGGGUAAAUAAGGACAUGCUUUCAGGUGUUUGUUGUUGGGCACCAGCGAGUAGUGAGCAUUUAACAUAAAAAACCUCUGCUGCAUCACUCACUAAACUGUUCCAAACUGGAAGCAAUAUGAGCACAAGAACUAUGCAUCAGAAGCUUCAUGAAAUGGCUUUCCGUGGAUAUUUUGAUGUCAGUUAUUCAUGCUUCUUUAAGAUGUCCAUAGUGUAAAAACCUAUAUAUCACAAUGCGCUCCAAAUACAAUCCAGACUCAGUUUCUUAGAUUAACACAUAACGGUCAACCUUGAAAAAAGUAGAAGUCUUGUCAAGUUUCAACACACUUUCUCUUUAGACAGGAUGGAAGCCAAGGAAAAGUGGUCACAGUGCUGCAGGUUGAGCAGGAGAAGAGAAUAGUACGACUGCAUCUGGAGGAGGAGAGGCAGUCAGCUAGUAGAGUGCCUUUGGUUCAGUAUGGAGUCUGACCUACAGCAAAAUCAGUGAUGAAUACUGCACACAAGUUUUUAUCCUGCUUAGGAUAUACUCAAGAAAGCCGAACCCACAUAUUUCUCCUUGAAACCCAGUGACAGUUACACCAAGAGCAAGAACAGUUAAUCAGUCACGAGGGUCAGAGCUGCAGCUUCCAUUUUAACGUGACCAACUUUAGCUAGCUAUCUAGUUAGGUACAUUAGAAUAUUGGGCUAAAGUGUUGUUUUUGUGCUCCAGUGGCGCAAUCGGUCAGCGUGCGGUACUUAUAUAGCAGUACGACUGAAGCCAUGCCGAGGUUGUGAGUUCGACCCUCACCUGGAGCACAGCUUUUAAAACUCAGUUACAUGAACGCGGCCGCAAUUGUGUGAAUUAUGGAUCAGAGAACACAUGCUAUAUGGCCAACAGUGUGUGAACACCCUCCAAGUGGUUGAGUUCAAAUGUUUUAGACACCCUUUCCUAAGAGGAGGAAGCACUGAAGAACAUCACAAUACAAUCCCCAUCAAUGCCUACAUACAAAUCUGGGUAAAUAAGGACAUGCUUUCAGGUGUUUGUUGUUGGGCACCAGCGAGUAGUGAGCAUUUAACAUAAAAAACCUCUGCUGCAUCACUCACUAAACUGUUCCAAACUGGAAGCAAUAUGAGCACAAGAACUAUGCAUCAGAAGCUUCAUGAAAUGGCUUUCCGUGGAUAUUUUGAUGUCAGUUAUUCAUGCUUCUUUAAGAUGUCCAUAGUGUAAAAACCUAUAUAUCACAAUGCGCUCCAAAUACAAUCCAGACUCAGUUUCUUAGAUUAACACAUAACGGUCAACCUUGAAAAAAGUAGAAGUCUUGUCAAGUUUCAACACACUUUCUCUUUAGACAGGAUGGAAGCCAAGGAAAAGUGGUCACAGUGCUGCAGGUUGAGCAGGAGAAGAGAAUAGUACGACUGCAUCUGGAGGAGGAGAGGCAGUCAGCUAGUAGAGUGCCUUUGGUUCAGUAUGGAGUCUGACCUACAGCAAAAUCAGUGAUGAAUACUGCACACAAGUUUUUAUCCUGCUUAGGAUAUACUCAAGAAAGCCGAACCCACAUAUUUCUCCUUGAAACCCAGUGACAGUUACACCAAGAGCAAGAACAGUUAAUCAGUCACGAGGGUCAGAGCUGCAGCUUCCAUUUUAACGUGACCAACUUUAGCUAGCUAUCUAGUUAGGUACAUUAGAAUAUUGGGCUAAAGUGUUGUUUUUGUGCUCCAGUGGCGCAAUCGGUCAGCGUGCGGUACUUAUAUAGCAGUACGACUGAAGCCAUGCCGAGGUUGUGAGUUCGACCCUCACCUGGAGCACAGCUUUUAAAACUCAGUUACAUGAACGCGGCCGCAAUUGUGUGAAUUAUGGAUCAGAGAACACAUGCUAUAUGGCCAACAGUGUGUGAACACCCUCCAAGUGGUUGAGUUCAAAUGUUUUAGACACCCUUUCCUAAGAGGAGUAAGCACUGAAGAACAUCACAAUACAAUCCCCAUCAAUGCCUACAUACAAAUCUGGGUAAAUAAGGACAUGCUUUCAGGUGUUUGUUGUUGGGCACCAGCGAGUAGUGAGCAUUUAACAUAAAAAACCUCUGCUGCAUCACUCACUAAACUGUUCCAAACUGGAAGCAAUAUGAGCACAAGAACUAUGCAUCAGAAGCUUCAUGAAAUGGCUUUCCGUGGAUAUUUUGAUGUCAGUUAUUCAUGCUUCUUUAAGAUGUCCAUAGUGUAAAAACCUAUAUAUCACAAUGCGCUCCAAAUACAAUCCAGACUCAGUUUCUUAGAUUAACACAUAACGGUCAACCUUGAAAAAAGUAGAAGUCUUGUCAAGUUUCAACACACUUUCUCUUUAGACAGGAUGGAAGCCAAGGAAAAGUGGUCACAGUGCUGCAGGUUGAGCAGGAGAAGAGAAUAGUACGACUGCAUCUGGAGGAGGAGAGGCAGUCAGCUAGUAGAGUGCCUUUGGUUCAGUAUGGAGUCUGACCUACAGCAAAAUCAGUGAUGAAUACUGCACACAAGUUUUUAUCCUGCUUAGGAUAUACUCAAGAAAGCCGAACCCACAUAUUUCUCCUUGAAACCCAGUGACAGUUACACCAAGAGCAAGAACAGUUAAUCAGUCACGAGGGUCAGAGCUGCAGCUUCCAUUUUAACGUGACCAACUUUAGCUAGCUAUCUAGUUAGGUACAUUAGAAUAUUGGGCUAAAGUGUUGUUUUUGUGCUCCAGUGGCGCAAUCGGUCAGCGUGCGGUACUUAUAUAGCAGUACGACUGAAGCCAUGCCGAGGUUGUGAGUUCGACCCUCACCUGGAGCACAGCUUUUAAAA